rnacentral:tRNA from 2 species
GCCCGGGUGGUGGAAUUGGUAGACACGCUAUCUUGAGGGGGUAGUGGCGUAAGCCGUGCCGGUUCAAGUCCGGCCUCGGGCACCA